GUGAGUGGCGAACUGGUGAGUAACACGUGGGAAACCUGCCCAGAAGCGGGGGAUAACACCUGGAAACAGAUGCUAAUACCGCAUAACAACUUGGACCGCAUGGUCCGAGCUUGAAAGAUGGCUUCGGCUAUCACUUUUGGAUGGUCCCGCGGCGUAUUAGCUAGAUGGUGGGGUAACGGCUCACCAUGGCAAUGAUACGUAGCCGACCUGAGAGGGUAAUCGGCCACAUUGGGACUGAGACACGGCCCAAACUCCUACGGGAGGCAGCAGUAGGGAAUCUUCCACAAUGGACGAAAGUCUGAUGGAGCAACGCCGCGUGAGUGAAGAAGGGUUUCGGCUCGUAAAACUCUGUUGUUAAAGAAGAACAUAUCUGAGAGUAACUGUUCAGGUAUUGACGGUAUUUAACCAGAAAGCCACGGCUAACUACGUGCCAGCAGCCGCGGUAAUACGUAGGUGGCAAGCGUUGUCCGGAUUUAUUGGGCGUAAAGCGAGCGCAGGCGGUUUUUUAAGUCUGAUGUGAAAGCCUUCGGCUCAACCGAAGAAGUGCAUCGGAAACUGGGAAACUUGAGUGCAGAAGAGGACAGUGGAACUCCAUGUGUAGCGGUGAAAUGCGUAGAUAUAUGGAAGAACACCAGUGGCGAAGGCGGCUGUCUGGUCUGUAACUGACGCUGAGGCUCGAAAGUAUGGGUAGCAAACAGGAUUAGAUACCCUGGUAGUCCAUACCGUAAACGAUGAAUGCUAAGUGUUGGAGGGUUUCCGCCCUUCAGUGCUGCAGCUAACGCAUUAAGCAUUCCGCCUGGGGAGUACGGCCGCAAGGCUGAAACUCAAAGGAAUUGACGGGGGCCCGCACAAGCGGUGGAGCAUGUGGUUUAAUUCGAAGCUACGCGAAGAACCUUACCAGGUCUUGACAUACUAUGCAAAUCUAAGAGAUUAGACGUUCCCUUCGGGGACAUGGAUACAGGUGGUGCAUGGUUGUCGUCAGCUCGUGUCGUGAGAUGUUGGGUUAAGUCCCGCAACGAGCGCAACCCUUAUUAUCAGUUGCCAGCAUUAAGUUGGGCACUCUGGUGAGACUGCCGGUGACAAACCGGAGGAAGGUGGGGAUGACGUCAAAUCAUCAUGCCCCUUAUGACCUGGGCUACACACGUGCUACAAUGGAUGGUACAACGAGUUGCGAACUCGCGAGAGUAAGCUAAUCUCUUAAAGCCAUUCUCAGUUCGGAUUGUAGGCUGCAACUCGCCUACAUGAAGUCGGAAUCGCUAGUAAUCGGGAUCAGCAUGCCGCGGUGAAUACGUUCCCGGGCCUUGUACACACCGCCCGUCACACCAU
rnacentral:rRNA from 2 species